GGGGUUGUUUUGAGAAAGUGGUGAGCCAUGGUGAGAAAGAGGGGUUGUUUUGAGAAAGAGGGGUCAUUUUGAGAAAGUUGUGAGUCAUGGUGAGAAAGAAGGGGUUGUUUUGAGAAAGUGGUAAGCCAUGGUAAGGCAGUGAGGGGUUGUUUUGAGAAAGUGGUGAGUCACGGUGAGAAAAUGAGGGGUUGUUUUGAGAAAGUGGUGAGUCAUGGUGAGAUAUAAGGGGUUGUAUUGAGAAAGUUGUAAAUCAUGGUGAGAAAGAGGGGUUAUUUUGAGAAAGUGGGGAGCCAUGGUAAGUAAGAGGGGGGUUGUUUUGAGAAAGUUGUGAGUCAUGGUGAGAAAGAGGGGGGUUAUUUUGAGAAAGUGGUGAGUCAUGGUGAGAAAUAGGGGUUGUUUUGAGAAAGUUGUGAGUCAUGGUGAGAAAGAGGGGUUAUUUUGAGAAAGUGGUGAGUCACGGUGAGAAAAUGAGGGGUUGUUUUGAGAAAGUGGUGAGUCAUGGUGAGAUAUAGGGGGGUUGUUUUGAGAAAGUGGUGAGUCAUGGUGAGAAAGAGGGGGGUUGUUUUG